UACGUAGGGUGCAAGCGUUGUCCGGAAUUAUUGGGCGUAAAGAGCUCGUAGGCGGUCUGUCACGUCGGCUGUGAAACCCGAGGCUCAACCUCGGGCCUGCAGUCGAUACGGGCAAACUAGAGUACUGCAGGGGAGACUGGAAUUCCUGGUGUAGCGGUGAAAUGCGCAGAUAUCAGGAGGAACACCGGUGGCGAAGGCGGGUCUCUGGGCAGUAACUGACGCUGAGGAGCGAAAGCGUGGGGAGCGAACAGG
rnacentral:rRNA from 1 species